UUGAAUGUGUUUUGAUUAUCGUUUGUUGUAACUCUCCAGGCUUGGUCUUGUCAUCUAGGUCGGGUAAGGGGUGUUACAGCGUGGCUGUGACUUGCACCACCAUUUUUCUUGCAGAUAGACUGUUUGAUCUUCCUCCGUACAUAUUGUCCCAACCCAUUCAAUGUAUUAUGAUUGUAGAAGGCCCAUUUCGCCCGGGCCCAUGCCAAAAACAAAAAACAAAAAUUAAAUUAAACCAACAGUCCAUUUACAGUUCAUUUAACCCAAAUACAAAUUGAAGCCCAAAUUUUAAAGCCCACUUCACAAAUAAGACCCAAGAUAGAUUGUAAUCCCAAACUUAAAACCCAUUUUGCAUACAAACCCAAAACCCGAUUCUAGCCUAACCCAACCCAAUUACAGUAGCCCAAUUUGAAGAACCCAAAAGGCCCAAUAAUUAAGGAUUCCAGAAACCCUAGGGAUUUCUAAAACAGAUUGUGCCACAGCCUUCUAGCCUGGAAUCAGGCCUCCACGUCACCACGAAUGGCCCCUUCCUCCGUACGGGCAUCUUCACGAUAGAACCUGCGAGAAUAAAUAGCUAAGCAGCAUCGAUAACAGAAUACAAAAUAGCCAGCAAAUGUAUAGCAAAAUGGGAGGUUUUUUUUUCCUUUUUUUUGUAUUAUUUAUUCUAUAAAUUGGCUAUAAAAAGAGGCCGAAGGUAAUCUGUAAUUUUUUACGCAUACAAACGAAUAUACAGCAGUCAAAAUUUUUUUGAAAAGUGAUUAUCUUAUUCAAAUUUUCUUUAGUUUUUUAUUUUCUUUCGAUUCUAUUUCCUUUGGUCUUUCAUUAGGAUUCUUAUGUAUUUGAAAACAAAAAGAAAAUGAAAGAUUUACCUUACAAAUAUGCUAUUGGAUUCUUUCUGCUUCAUUGAAAUCGAGGCUUAGAGGAAAUUUUAUGGCUGAAAAUGGCAACCCUCGAAGCUUUAAUUUGCUACUCACCGUUUAUGGUGGUGGAUUGGCGUUUAAGGGGAGGGAUUUAGGAUCGGCCAAGAAGAGGAUUAAAAGGGGGCUAGGGUUUUGAUUCAUUAAUGAUGGUCGAAUGUUGUUUUUUGGCUUUGUUUUGGCGUUUAUAAAGGACAGAAAAUGGUGCUGUUUAGAGCCUAUUACAAUGGCUUCAAAGCGGUGUCGUAUAGGGCGACCCAUUUCAACCCGACCCGAUACCCAUGAGGAUCCGCG
rnacentral:lncRNA from 1 species